rnacentral:rRNA from 1 species
UACAGAGGCCCCAAGCGUUGUUCGGAUUCACUGGGCGUAAAGGGUGCGUAGGCGGUCGGGUAAGUCUGACGUGAAAUCUUCAAGCUUAACUUGGAAACUGCGUCGGAUACUAUUCGGCUAGAGGAAUGGAGGGGAGACUGGAAUACUUGGUGUAGCAGUGAAAUGCGUAGAUAUCAAGUGGAACACCAGUGGCGAAGGCGAGUCUCUGGACAUUUCCUGACGCUGAGGCACGAAAGCCAGGGGAGCAAACGGG